AAUCAACGCUGGCGGCGUGCCUCAGACAUGCAAGCCGAACGCGAAAGUUCCCUUCGGGGAAUAAGUAGAGUGGCGCACGGGUGAGUAACACGUAGGUAAUCUACCUUCGGGUGGGGAAUAACCCAGGGAAACUUGGGCUAACACCGCAUGAUGCAGCGGCACCACACGGUGACAGUUGUUAAAGCGGGGGAGUCGCAAGACCUCGCGCCUAAAGAGGAGCCUGUGGCGGAUUAGCUAGNGGUCAGGGUAACGGCCUACCAAGGCAACGAUCCGUAGCCGGCCUGAGAGGGCGGUCGGCCACACUGACACUGAAAUACGGGUCAGACUCCUACGGGAGGCAGCAGUCGGGAAUUUUGGC
rnacentral:rRNA from 1 species